rnacentral:tRNA from 4 species
GCCUCAGUAGCUCAGCUGGUAGAGCACUGGAUUUGUAAUCCAGCGGUCGGGGGUUCAAUUCCCUCCUGGGGCU